rnacentral:rRNA from 1 species
CACGUAGGGGGCGAGCGUUGUCCGGAUUUAUUGGGCGUAAAGGGCCCGUAGGCGGUUUGUCGCGUCGGGAGUGAAAACCAUGAGCUUAACUCAUGGCUUGCUUUCGAUACGGGCAGACUAGAGGCAUGCAGGGGAGAACGGAAUUCCUGGUGUAGCGGUGAAAUGCGCAGAUAUCAGGAGGAACACCGGUGGCGAAGGCGGUUCUCUGGGCAUUACCUGACGCUGAGGAGCGAAAGUGUGGGGAGCGAACAGG